rnacentral:rRNA from 1 species
AAUGAACGCUGGCGGCAUGCCUUACACAUGCAAGUCGAACGGCAGCAUGACCUAGCUUGCUAGGUUGAUGGCGAGUGGCGCACGGGUGAGUAAUGCAUCGGAACGUGCCUUUUAGUGGGGGAUAACGUAGCGAAAGUUACGCUAAUACCGCAUAUUCUCUGAGGAGGAAAGCAGGGGACCUUCGGCCUUGCGCUAGAAGAGCGGCCGAUGUCGGAUUAGCUAGUUGGUGAGGUAAAGGCUCACCAAGGCAACGAUCCGUAGCGGGUCUGAGAGGAUGAUCCGCCACACUGGGACUGAGACACGGCCCAGACUCCUACGGGAGGCAGCAGUGGGGAAUUUUGGACAAUGGGCGCAAGCCUGAUCCAGCCAUGCCGCGUGAGUGAAGAAGGCCUUCGGGUUGUAAAGCUCUUUCGGCUGGGAAGAAAUCGCACCCUCUAAUACAGGGUGUGGAUGACGGUACCAGCAUAAGAAGCACCGGCUAACUACG